rnacentral:lncRNA from 1 species
GGCGCAGUCCACCAACACUCCAACUAGGCAGCCCAUGCGAGAAUGUCGACCCUCGGAGGACAAUGAGGAAGUCAGUCAAUAUCGUGGAGGUCGCCAACGUAACCGACCAGCAAUGUGCGCAGAAGACGUUGAGAAGCUCGUGAAUGACCGACUUCGAGACUUGAAGACCGGAGAAAACUUCGAGGAUUCACUACGUAAGGAGAUGGACCAGGUGAG